AGUGAGACUGACUGCGUCGGGGUUGAGACUGGGUGGAUGAGGCUCACCCCGGCGGGGAGAAGGGACGAGGAGGGGCGGACAGCGGAAGGUCCGGGAGUGUCCGCCAUAAAGUCGUUUGAGGUGACCGUUGCGUAAUUGUGAGUCUGUGAGAGAAGAUGUGAAGUAUGGCCUCGUCCCGGUCAUCUGGGCGUGCGGGUCCCGGGUUUUGAUCGCGCGUUUGUGUAGGUGAGACCCACAUUGUGUUACCCUGAACAUGUGUGAGGACGAACCUUUGUGUUUUCUUAUACGUGUGUCUCUGAGGCGAUUUUUGUGGUUUUGUACGUGGCGGGGGGCACUGAUUUUGAAUAUGUGUGUAUGUUCUGGACAUUUGUUUAGCUUCUGCAUCCACUUCUGCGGAAGGGCAGAGUUGAGUAGGUGGGAACAGGUACUGUGUGGCCCCACAAAGCCUGAACUAUUUACUGUUGACUCUAGAGCCCAGUUUUUGCGGUGUGUACGUCUCUGUGGGGAACCACACAUUUUGAAUAUGUAUAC
rnacentral:lncRNA from 1 species